UACGUAGGUGGCGAGCGUUGUCCGGAAUUACUGGGUGUAAAGCGCGUGUAGGCGGGAGGCCAAGUCUGCGGUGAAAUCGCUCGGCUCAACUGGGCGGGGUCCGUGGAAACUGGUCACCUGGAGGACGGUAGAGGCGAGUGGAAUUCCCGGUGUAGUGGUGAAAUGCGUAGAGAUCGGGAGGAACACCAGUGGCGAAGGCGGCUCGCUGGGCCGGACCUGACGCUGAGACGCGAAGGCGUGGGGAGCAAACGGG
rnacentral:rRNA from 1 species